AAAUAGAUACCCCCGGUAGUCCACCCCGUAAACGUUGGGAACUAGUUGUGGGGCCCAUUCCACGGAUUCCGUGACGCAGCUAACGCAUUAAGUUCCCCGCCUGGGGAGUACGGCCGCAAGGCUAAAACUCAAAGGAAUUGACGGGGACCCGCACAAGCGGCGGAGCAUGCGGAUUAAUUCGAUGCAACGCGAAGAACCUUACCAAGGCUUGACAUAUACGAGAACGCUGCAGAAAUGUAGAACUCUUUGGACACUCGUAAACAGGUGGUGCAUGGUUGUCGUCAGCUCGUGUCGUGAGAUGUUGGGUUAAGUCCCGCAACGAGCGCAACCCUCGUUCUAUGUUGCCAGCACGUAAUGGUGGGAACUCAUGGGAUACUGCCGGGGUCAACUCGGAGGAAGGUGGGGAUGACGUCAAAUCAUCAUGCCCCUUAUGUCUUGGGCUUCACGCAUGCUACAAUGGCCGGUACAAAGGGCUGCAAUACCGUAAGGUGGAGCGAAUCCCGAAAAAGCCGGUCCCAGUUCGGAUUGAGGUCUGCAACUCGACCUC
rnacentral:rRNA from 1 species